AAAAAACACUUUGCAAAUCAAUCAGUCAGGAAGCAUGUUCCGCAGAGUGUUUGCUGGAAAAUAUUUAGUUAUCUGGAAUUAAAUACAUAAGGCCUUCGGGAAAACCAACCAAUUUCACGGCGGAAGUUUGGCACGAAGACGAGUUGAGAGAGCAACUGAGAAGCAGUAUCAUGAAAAAAUGUUUUUUUCUCCGAGGUCCAGCCGUAAAUCCUUUUGGAUUACUUGGGAAUGUGCAUACAGGCCAAGAAUAUGUAUGCAACAUGAGGGACCAGAUGCAGCCGUUGCGGCAGAUAUUCUAUACCACUGACGUGACGGUUGGGCAAGUUCCGGACAUUUUUAUCUUACGU